ACAUGAAUCAUUUGGACAUCUUGUUAAAUGUAGGUUCUGAGGGGGGCAGGACCAGAGUGGAGCCUGAGAUUCUGCAUUUCUAACAAGUUCCCAUAGCUGCUUGU
rnacentral:miRNA from 1 species